AGAACGAACGCUGGCGGCAGGCUUAACACAUGCAAGUCGAACGCCCCGCAAGGGGAGUGGCAGACGGGUGAGUAACGCGUGGGAAUCUACCCAGAUCUUCGGAACAACUGAGGGAAACUUCAGCUAAUACCGGAUACGCCCUACGGGGGAAAGAUUUAUCGGUUCUGGAUGAGCCCGCGUAAGAUUAGCUAGUUGGUGGGGUAAUGGCCUACCAAGGCGACGAUCUUUAGCUGGUCUGAGAGGAUGAUCAGCCACACUGGGACUGAGACACGGCCCAGACUCCUACGGGAGGCAGCAGUGGGGAAUAUUGGACAAUGGGCGCAAGCCUGAUCCAGCCAUGCCGCGUGAGUGAUGAAGGCCUUAGGGUUAGUAAAGCUCUUUCAGUGGGUAAGAUAAUGACGUACCCACAGAAGAAGCCCGGCUAACUUCGCGCCAGCAGCCGC
rnacentral:rRNA from 1 species